rnacentral:lncRNA from 1 species
GAGCAUGCACUUAACUAGACUAAGGCUGGAUGAACCAAAUAAAUAAAUCGGCAUAUAUAUGAGGUGAUUGAAAUUUAUGGACUGGAGCUUUAAUACCAUGUUAACUGACUUAACUAACUGAUUUCAAAAACUCAAGCUAGUACAUGCAUGGAUGGCCCCAUAUAAUCAUCGCUAAGGUCAUUUCCCUCUCUAAUAUUGUGGCAUUGUUACCAUUCUCUCAACAAUUACAAGCUAUUGUAAAAGAUAAAAAUAGGGGGGAG